CAGUAGCCGCGGUAAUACAGAGGGUGCAAGCGUUAAUCGGAAUUACUGGGCGUAAAGCGCGCGUAGGUGGUUUGUUAAGUUGGAUGUGAAAUCCCCGGGCUCAACCUGGGAACUGCAUCCAAAACUGGCAAUCUAGAGUAUGGUAGAGGGUGGUGGAAUUUCCUGUGUAGCGGUGAAAUGCGUAGAUAUAGGAAGGAACACCAGUGGCGAAGGCGACCACCUGGACUGAUACUGACACUGAGGUGCGAAAGCGUGGGGAGCAAACAGGAUUAGAUACCCGUGUAGUCCCUGUCUCUUAUAU
rnacentral:rRNA from 1 species